ACUGUGCCACCACACCGAGCGUGGGUAUUCUAAAUGGGGAGAGUGGCCUGAAACACCGGGAAGGCUCUGGGGAAGGGGGUGCAGGCAGAUCUGGGGCUGCAGAGCUGCGGGUCCGAGCGCCAUUAGGGGGAGCCAGGGUGGCGGGCGGAGGGGGGGGGGGAGCCGAGGCCUUUGGUGGUGUGCGGUGACCACGCCCUCCUUCCUCCCCCUUCCUUCCUCCCUUCCUUCCCGCCCCUUCGCCAGCUGCGGCUGAGGGCCGAGGGGCUGUCUCCUGGGGUCGCCCCGCAGCGUGUACGGCGGAGCUGCGAAGAGCUUCUCUCUCUGGCAGUCAGUGCUGGGCUUGAACCCAGGGCCUUGAGCUCGCUCCAAACGGCCUCGGAAACCAGAAUCGUUCGCACUGGAGCCUUCUGGGCUUUCUUGCUUCACCCCCUGAAUAUUAAGCGUUUUAUGUGAGUCUUGCCCCGGAGUCUGGGCUGGCCUUGAACUCGAAGCCCCGCCCUCCCCUCAGCCCGCCCAGGGCUGGGACCUCAGGUGUGCGCGGUGCCCCGCCGCGGUGAACCUCUGAGCCCGGAAACCGGCCUUCUCCCGGGCCCGGGAACCCCUCCCGCGCAUGCGCGUGCGCACGCAGGCCAGGGCGCCGCCGGCGCAAACUCUGCCCUCGCCCUGAACCUGGCGAGCGAGCGGCGCUGCUCCUGGUUCCCUGCCAGGGCCCCGCGGGCGCGGGCUCCGCCUCCCACAGCUGAGUCUGGGCUGGCCCCUUCUCCCACGCCAGCUUGCCAGCUCGGCCUUCGUCAUCUGCGUGAAGAGAGCAGCACAGGGUCAGUGAUUCCCACCACCGCGCGGGGGGGAUCGCAGGCUGAGCCCAGCCGGGCAGACCCUAUCUCAGCCAGAAAGAGGGAGGGGAGGUGGCGCACGCCUGUCAUCCCAGCACUCGGGAGGCUGAGGCAGGGGGAUCGCUGUGAGUUACAAAACAAAAGGCCAGGGCUGCAGUCAGUGCCAAAGCCCUGGGCUCAAGCCGCAGUCCUGCACAACAGUGAUGAUUGUCAUGGUUCCUGGGAGCUGAAGCAUCAGGGCCGUUAGCAGGAGCAGAGGCAGCGCUGCAGCCUGGGAGAUGAGAUAAGCCCCGGCCCAGGCUGUGAUCCCCACGCACCUCGGGGACCCUGCAGCCAUUGGCAGCACCUUGCUCUCGGCCCUGGUUCCCAGACUUGCACCUUGGCAGCUCCAAGGGCUCCACCUGAGUGGCGAGGCCUGGGAUCCCGGAUCCCCAACAGGUUCCCGGAUGAUCCUGCAGCUCCCACCUGGGGGCCUCUGGCCCGGCUGUUUUGAGAACCACUGCACUAAACUGAGAACGAGGUCUUCAGAAUUCCCACUCGGAAUCAGCGUGGUGGCCUACACCUGUCAUCCCAGCACUCAGGAGGCUGAGCCAGGAGAAUCACUGGGAGUUUGAGGCCAGCCUGGGCUACCCAGCAAGACCCUCUCUCAAAAGAAAACAAACACCCCCAAAAGCAAAGUUCCCACUCCCCAAGGCACCAUGUCCAGGUCUCUCCAACCUCAUUCCUUCCAGCCCCUCCAACCAUUGCUGAGGUUUUCUUGACCCUCCCUCCCCAGUCCCUGCUCUGGGCAGGAGCUGCCUGUUUCCAGCUCUCCCUAGCUUUCUAUUUGUCCAGAGCCCAGAUUCAUUUCUUCAGUUUUCUCCUUGCUCUGGGCAGAUCUACGGGCUGCUUGCAGGAGCUGAGCACCCCAGCACGGGGCAGAGGCCUGGGCUCGGGCAUCACAGGCCCAGCCGCCCUUACUGUGCCACACGCACGCACAGCCUUCGCCGCUCCAUCCUGGGCGCCAGCUCCUUGCUGGCUUCCCAUCCCCAUGCCUUUCCCUCUCUGGGUUUCCCGGCUGAUGCUUGGUUGGCGCUGUCUGUGUUUCAGGAGAUAACCUGCAGCCCUGUUCUUUUUGAGGUCCAUUUUGGGAAACAGGCAAGGGGCCGUGGGACAAGCAGGAGUCUGGGCUGGAGCAACGUCUUCCAGUCGGGGUGGGAGGGGCAGCCGAGCCGCUGGCUGGCAGGAAGACCCCAAGGGACAAUCACACCGGCCUUGUGCAGGUGACUAAGGCCAGGGCUGACACAGUACACUAGAUCUCUACCACUGAGUUACAUCCGCCCUGUCCACUUUUCAUCUUGAGACAAGGUUCAUGGAGUUGCCUGGGCUGCCCUGGAUCCUUCUGCUUCAGCCUCCCAAGAACCUGGAAUUACAGGAAUGCCCCACCACGCCCAUCUACAGAAAACUUUUACUAUUUAAAAAAAAAAAAUCAAACCCAGUUUGCACUGAA